rnacentral:lncRNA from 1 species
UCUAGUCUGCUUACCUUCGACGUCGACGAUGUCUGAUUCUGACCCUAGCCUCAUGCCGGCUUCUUCGUCCACGACGACCUGCAACCCGGCCCCGGGAACACCUUCACCAUCACUAUCACUUCCCAAGUUCCCAUGAGCUCCCACGGCCCAAGCCCAACCUCCAUGGCUAGCUCCCACAGUUGAUGAUCAACGUCAACCACUCCCGGGAUCGACAUUGGAGAUCCAGUCAGAUCAGGAAAACGCGCAAAAAUCGUGCCGAAGGAGAUACCAAAUAUAGCAGAGUCUGAAGCUAAA